UUGGAUCUUUCAAAUUUUUUU
rnacentral:piRNA from 1 species